UUUGUUGAUGGAGGGGGAGGACGUUUGUGAAACGCUUCUUUAAGCGUCACCAGUUCCUGCGUUGGGUGCUCGAGGUGCCUGAAGAGAAUUUGACAGAUGGGACCUGGCAUUUCAGGGCAGAACUGUCCGGUCCUCACAUGUCCUUAUGUUAUCCUGGAGGACUAUGACAAGAUCUUUGGAGGACCUGGCAUGGGACUUCACAGCUGAAGUUUGGAUGAAACCUGAUUUUUUAACUAUGUUCUUGCCCAAGGUAAAUGGGGCCAAAUAGCCUCAUGAUUUUCACAUUUGCCCCAGUAUGACUAUUAAUGUCAUUCUUGUUGUGAUCCUCUCUCUCUCUCUCUCUGUGUUACCCCUGGAAGUCUCAGACUGGAUAUGGGUUCAUCUGAUGUCCUACUUGCUCCUAAACUUGCAACACUGAGUGGCUAUCACACUGGCCACUUACCAUGUUUUAUCCUACACUUUGGCCAGAGGCACUGCCAUAUUUUAAAAAAAGAGCUCCAUAGUCUUUUUGUCCAGUCUUUGCCUUUAAUCACAACUUCAGCACUACAGAUUGUAGUUGAAAUUAUUCUACAUCUUUUCUAAAGCACCUUGAAAAGUCUUGGCAAAUAAAGCCUUGCAAAAGCUGAGUUGGUUCAGCAACAGCAUACUAAAGAAAUCAUUCCUAAGACCUGCAGAGUGUGAAGCCCCACAAGUGGGAUCCCUUUAACUCCUUUCAUAAUAGGAUGAAUAAAGGAGCCAGUCCUGAUUUUGCAUACAUUGGUCACUAGAGGGCAGUAUGUGGUUAGAACUGUGUCCAAAAUGCUUUGCGAUUCCUUGUCCAAGGAAUGUGGCAAGACCAUGUUCUUAAAGAAAAAAUAAAUAAAUGCAGCCAGAGGCCUGGCUCUGCAGCGCGUCCUCUAGAGCUGGUGACAGGCAGUGCCAUCCACAAAAACACUUUGAGUCAACUCCCAUUCCUGGAGCCUCAUUCUCAAAUGCCAAUCUCUAGAAGAGGGGAAGACCAGAACAAUAUAGCGGGAAAAUUAGUUUUAUUAGAGGUAAUCUAUGCUCAUAGAGAAACAAAUUCCUUCCAAAGGUGACACCCUUAAAAAGAAAUCCUCUAAAAUAUGUAGGCAUCUAACUCCCAUUGAAAUGACAUUUGAAAUGGAGGAAAACAUGGCCAUGUAUCAAGGUGUAGUCAAUAUCAGUAAGUGACUGCAGCCUUUCUACUAUUCCCACUUCAUUAAUUACAAAAUGCAUUUUCCAACUCAUUUUUAAAAUAGCCAGCACUGUUCUAAAGGGACACCAUUGUCCUGAAAAUCACUUUUCCUUCUGAAAAUACUGUGCCUGUUGUUAAAAUUGGUAUUGCUGACACAGAUUAAAGAUAAAAUAUUUUCUGUUU